rnacentral:rRNA from 1 species
UCAGGACGAACGCUGGCGGCGUGCCUAAUACAUGCAAGUAGAACGCUGAAGAGAGGAGCUUGCUCUUCUUGGAUGAGUUGCGAACGGGUGAGUAACGCGUAGGUAACCUGCCUUGUAGCGGGGGAUAACUAUUGGAAACGAUAGCUAAUACCGCAUAACAAUGGAUGACACAUGUCAUUUAUUUGAAAGGGGCAAUUGCUCCACUACAAGAUGGACCUGCGUUGUAUUAGCUAGUAGGUGAGGUAAUGGCUCACCUAGGCGACGAUACAUAGCCGACCUGAGAGGGUGAUCGGCCACACUGGGACUGAGACACGGCCCAGACUCCUACGGGAGGCAGCAGUAGGGAAUCUUCGGCAAUGGGGGCAACCCUGACCGAGCAACGCCGCGUGAGUGAAGAAGGUUUUCGGAUCGUAAAGCUCUGUUGUAAGUCAAGAACGGGUGUGAGAGUGGAAAGUUCACACUGUGACGGUAGCUUACCAGAAAGGGACGGCUAACUACGUGCCAGCAGCCGCGGUAAUACGUAGGUCCCGAGCGUUGUCCGGAUUUAUUGGGCGUAAAGCGAGCGCAGGCGGUUUGAUAAGUCUGAAGUUAAAGGCUGUGGCUCAACCAUAGUUCGCUUUGGAAACUGUCAAACUUGAGUGCAGAAGGGGAGAGUGGAAUUCCAUGUGUAGCGGUGAAAUGCGUAGAUAUAUGGAGGAACACCGGUGGCGAAAGCGGCUCUCUGGUCUGUAACUGACGCUGAGGCUCGAAAGCGUGGGGAGCGAACAGGAUUAGAUACCCUGGUAGUCCACGCCGUAAACGAUGAGUGCUAGGUGUUGGAUCCUUUCCGGGAUUCAGUGCCGCAGCUAACGCAUUAAGCACUCCGCCUGGGGAGUACGACCGCAAGGUUGAAACUCAAAGGAAUUGACGGGGGCCCGCACAAGCGGUGGAGCAUGUGGUUUAAUUCGAAGCAACGCGAAGAACCUUACCAGGUCUUGACAUCCCGAUGCUAUUUCUAGAGAUAGAAAGUUACUUCGGUACAUCGGUGACAGGUGGUGCAUGGUUGUCGUCAGCUCGUGUCGUGAGAUGUUGGGUUAAGUCCCGCAACGAGCGCAACCCCUAUUGUUAGUUGCCAUCAUUCAGUUGGGCACUCUAGCGAGACUGCCGGUAAUAAACCGGAGGAAGGUGGGGAUGACGUCAAAUCAUCAUGCCCCUUAUGACCUGGGCUACACACGUGCUACAAUGGUUGGUACAACGAGUUGCGAGUCGGUGACGGCGAGCUAAUCUCUUAAAGCCAAUCUCAGUUCGGAUUGUAGGCUGCAACUCGCCUACAUGAAGUCGGAAUCGCUAGUAAUCGCGGAUCAGCACGCCGCGGUGAAUACGUUCCCGGGCCUUGUACACACCGCCCGUCACACCACGAGAGUUUGUAACACCCGAAGUCGGUGAGGUAACCUUUUGGAGCCAGCCGCCUAAGGUGGGACAGAUGAUUGGGGUGAAGUCGUACAUAAGGC